CCAAAGAUGGUAGCAAUUUCCCAGGCUUGCGCUGUGCUCAGUCAGCAAGAUGUGGGGCACUGUCCUAUGACUGAACAAAUAGUAAUUCCCAUCUUUCUAUCGCCAGUUAAAAAUAAACAACCUACCAAGUAUUAUUCUUUAAAACUAAGCAUGGAUGUUGAUGGCUAACUUUUGCGGCAUAUAAGCUACAGAUCUCAAGUUACUUCUCUAACUGUAAGCAUGUAAAUGACUUUAACUCCUUUCUAUAAGUUAUGAUUUUAAAUUUUCAGAUAAGAAUUGCAUUUUAAUAUGGAUAUGUGUGCCCUUAAAAGCUACAGAUACCAAAUUUUCCUUGUCCAGGUCUACUCGGAUGAAUUUUCCCCCUUAAUCUGGCCUUAAACUGAGACUUGUCCCUUGAGAGCCAGGGCCUGGCCCAGCAGUAGUUGCUCAUAGACCUGGGAAGCAGGGGCCUGCUGGAAGGAAUCACUGGAUUACUGCAAAAACUCACAGUGUCAACAGGCUGUGGCCUUAACCUCUCAGGCCCAAAGCCUUUCUGCUACACAGGCCUUCCUCUUCACUAGGACCAGAUACACGCCAAGCUGCUAUUAGGAAGCGUUUUAUUGACCAGCAGAGCAGGGAUACUCAUUUAGCAGCUCAGCUUCAGACCCUCCUCUCCCACAUCCUUUUACACAGGUGUGUAAAGUCCUUUUAAUGCAAAAGGAUUUCCAGAGUCUCCAGGGACAGAACCAGGGGCUUCCCUGGACCAAAGUAAUCCCAUUCCAAUCUCCCCACUGGUCAGACACCAUC
rnacentral:lncRNA from 1 species